AUUGAACGCUGGCGGCAUGCUUUACACAUGCAAGUCGAACGGUAACAGGCCUUCGGGUGCUGACGAGUGGCGCACGGGUGCGUAAUACAUCGGAACGUGCCCCGUGGUGGGGGAUAACGCAGCGAAAGCUGUGCUAAUACCGCAUAUGAUCUGAGGAUGAAAGCGGGGGACCUGGCAGCAGUGUUUGGCCUCGGCCCUUUCUAGCAGCCGAUGUCGGAUUAGGUAGUUGGUGGGGUAAAGGCCUACCAAGCCGACGAUCUGUAGCUGGUCUGAGAGGACGACCAGCCACACUGGGACUGAGACACGGCCCAGACUCCUACGGGAGGCAGCAGUGGGGAAUUUUGGACAAUGGGCGCAAGCCUGAUCCAGCAAUGCCGCGUGCGGGAUGAAGGCCUUCGGGUUGUAAACCGCUUUUGUACGGAACGAAAAGGCUCUGGCUAAUACCUGGGGGUGAUGACGGUACCGUAAGAAUAAGCACCGGCUAACUACGUG
rnacentral:rRNA from 1 species